rnacentral:rRNA from 1 species
GACGGAGGGGGCUAGCGUUGUUCGGAAUGACUGGGCGUAAAGGGCGCGUAGGCGGUCUAUUAAGUGAGGCGUGAAAGCCCUGGGCUUAACCCAGGAGGUGCGUUUCAUACUGGUAGACUUGAGUACGAGAGAGGAAAGCGGAAUUCCUAGUGUAGAGGUGAAAUUCGUAGAUAUUAGGAAGAACACCAGAGGCGAAGGCGGCUUUCUGGCUCGUAACUGACGCUGAGGCGCGAAAGCGUGGGGAGCAAACAGG